UACAGAGGCCACAAGCGUUAGACGGAAUCACUGGGCUUAAAGCGUGUGUAGGCGGGAUGGUAAGUACCUUGUGAAAUCCCACAGCUUAACUGUGGAAAUGCUUGGUAUACUGCCGUUCUUGAGUCACCUAGGGGCAGCUGGAACAGAUGGUGGAGCGGUGAAAUGCAUAGAUAUCAUCUGGAACGCCAAUGGUGCGACAAGCUGCUGGGGGUGUACUGACGCUGAGGCACGAAAGCCAGGGGAGGCAAACGGG
rnacentral:rRNA from 1 species